rnacentral:rRNA from 1 species
UAACACGUGAGUAACCUGCCCCCGAGAGCGGGAUAGCCCUGGGAAACUGGGAUUAAUACCGCAUAGUAUCGAAAGAUUAAAGCAGCAAUGCGCUUGGGGAUGGGCUCGCGGCCUAUUAGUUAGUUGGUGAGGUAACGGCUCACCAAGGCGAUGACGGGUAGCCGGUCUGAGAGGAUGUCCGGCCACACUGGAACUGAGACACGGUCCAGACACCUACGGGUGGCAGCAGUCGAGAAUCAUUCACAAUGGGGGAAACCCUGAUGGUGCGACGCCGCGUGGGGGAAUGAAGGUCUUCGGAUUGUAAACCCCUGUCAUGUGGGAGCAAAUUAAAAAGAUAGUACCACAAGAGGAAGAGACGGCUAACUCUGUGCCAGCAGCCGCGGUAAUACAGAGGUCUCAAGCGUUGUUCGGAAUCACUGGGCGUAAAGCGUGCGUAGGCUGUUUCGUAAGUCGUGUGUGAAAGGCGCGGGCUCAACCCGCGGACGGCACAUGAUACUGCGAGACUAGAGUAAUGGAGGGGGAACCGGAAUUCUCGGUGUAGCAGUGAAAUGCGUAGAUAUCGAGAGGAACACUCGUGGCGAAGGCGGGUUCCUGGACAUUAACUGACGCUGAGGCACGAAGGCCAGGGGAGCGAAAGGGAUUAGAUACCCCUGUAGUCCUGGCAGUAAACGGUGCACGCUUGGUGUGCGGGGAAU